CGUCAGCGCCUCGCCCGUGGCGGCCGCGCGGAGGAUGGCGCCGUGGCACCUGGGAGCGGGCCGCGCCUUCCCUUCGUGAGGCCGGCAGCCCUCGGCCUCCAGUGGAACGCGCCUGGGUGAUCCAACACGAGGAGAAGCGUCGCGGUGAUAAAAAAUAACUUCAGCCAGCAUUUGCAGGUGCUGCUCAAGUAACAAAUCUUUACAGCCCAAUUUUCUGCGUGCAUCCAGCAGAGCCCUGUGCUGAUGUUGCUGCCAUCACUGCUGUAAUCCUAUGUUAUAAAAGUACUAUGUCACUGAGGAAGUGAUGCAUUUAAACUGCAGAAGAACACCCUGAAGGGUUGCAGUACGAUAACUGCCAGCUUGCUACCACAGUUUGGGCUGCCCUGCUUGCUUCCAUGCAUCACCGUUCUGGUGAUGGACCUCAUGGGACUCCAAGCAACAGAAAGUGGCACAGGAACAAUGGUCUCCAACAACUUCACCACCAAUACUGCUAUGAGUAGAAAUGCAGCCUACUAGCCAUGUGAGAGAAAAGAGGCAACAAAGAAGCUCUAGCAGGUGACACCUUACAGUACUAAAGAGGCAAACAGCAGAAGUUCAAGUUGUUAUUACCUAUAAAGUCCAGGGAGAAUGGAGUUCCAGCUCUAGAUGAGAUUGUUUCUUCAGAUGCUGAGCUACUCAGAAGCAGGAAUCCAUCAUUACUGAGACACAUCUCCACCUGACCCUGCUUGGACUUGGGAAUUGCUGGGGAAUAGGUAUGUUUAUAUAUGCCAAGGAAAUCAUGGAGAGCUUGGGAGGUAAGACCCAUAGCAAUCCACCAGCUCUCUGCCCCUAUGCAAGUACCCUGCAGGUGAGCCUUCCUCCUGCCAGGCCUUCAAGCCAAACAGGAACUUAGUGUUUCUCUAUCUGCUGUCCCUAAAACAAAUAGAAGAAACUCGAGGAGAGGAGAUAACUUAUAGCCUACUGCCAUUUUACGUCUGAAAUCAGGACAGAAAAUGCUUACUGGUAAGUUAAGUAUCAAAGAUCAGCUUUCCUCUUACUUCAGUAUGUUACAGUCUACUAGGUGGAUCCUAAAAAAUUAGGAAAAAGAACAGAAAACUUUACCAAGAACUGCUGAACAGCUGUUUUCAGAAUCAGAACAUGAAGAACAUUGUAGGGACCAAACGUGGAUUCUCCUUAUCUGCAGUUUCUGUAAUUCCUUUAAUAUCUAUACAACAGCAGCUCUACUGCACUUAUGUCACAAGAACAAGUCUUCACACUGACACAUUUUAAAAAUAACUCAUGAGUAAGAUCUUGUUCUCAUUUCUAUAAAACCUCUCCUCCCAAUGAUAAAAACUAGUUAAUAAUUUAACAAAGUAAUCCAAGUGUUCUAAAAAUGGCACAGAGCCAUUUAUAUUUAAAGAUAGUGCUUAGUUAUAGAAGAUUAAUCUGUGAGAAAGGACUAUUGUUUUGUAAAGCAAACACUUCCAAGUCAUCUAUGUAGGCUCCUAACAUCGUUUGCCUGCGAGCGACUGUUGGCCAUUCACUCCUUAUCUUGACCACUCUCAUAUUAGAAAACUGUUUCAUUGAGAAAAGAGUAGUUGCCUGCAGACUAAUUUAUGACUCCACAAGAGGUUAAUGCAGUUUGAUUCAUGCAAUUAAGGUCUUAGUCCAUCAUAUUAAACAGACUCUACCAAAGUCACCCCCUGCAAUUAUUUUUUUCUUAAUCUGAAAUAGGAAAAAAAUGGAGAUUUUAUGUUUCUUUGGUGUAUUCUGGAAGAACUGAAGAUUAUCAAGGAUCUCUAUUUAUUCUGAAUGCCAAUUUUUAUGUAUUAGUUUCAGGUCACCUAUGGCCUGACCCUAAUAAAGCAAAGACUAAGUCUGGCAUCCAGACCAUUCAAACAUCUAAGAAUAAGUGAGUGCGUACAUUGAUUUGAAACUAAAGUCAAAAUUAGUGAGCAUUUUCAAAAUACUGCUUUUAAGCUUCUUACCUCCCUUUCCCCACUUUUAAAACAAGCAUGAGACUAGUUUAUCAUGAGAAAACAUUGUCAAGAAUAAUAACCAAAUAGAAAUGGAAAAUGAAAAAAACCAUGCAUUUUCGUUGUCUGGUUAGUGCAUCCCAACAUCCUCUACAUUUCACCUUGUAGGCAGAAAGCACAAAUAUUUUUAAAUGUUUUGACUGGCACUGACAUCCCAAGAUUUUUAAUAAGUUUUAGUCUAAAUAGUAAUAAAAUUUUAUAACCCAGUCUAUGAAUGCGGAAUACUGAGCUUGUGGAUAACUGAAAGUGAAGCCUGAAAGAAAAAAUUAUGGUUCCAGGGCAUUUUCUGAUUUGGUUUAUAAAUAGAUGGUUUUGACAUAGCAGUCACAAAAAUAAAGCUACAGUUAGUAAGCCUGAGGCAGCUGUGCAGCUGGGAGAAGCACAUACUCUGGCAGCCAAUCUGUGCAAUCGCCUAUGUUGUGAUACAUGCUAUCAAAACACCAGUUAAGAAUACAGCAAGAAUUAGCAUUUCAGCUCAAGGCAGAGUGACAGAAAACAAACUUUGAUUUUUAUGUUAUCCAAUAUGUAAACCAUUGAACAAAAGCAAACAAAUUAGAUUUCUAAUUGGAAGCAGCAGAUAAACUGUAACAAUACAAACAUUUUUGUCCUUCACGUGAGACAGGUACAUUAAUGUGAUGUUUUCCGUAUUUGCAAAGCAUUUUCAGAAUGAUAAACAUAUGGCUUAUUUUACUAGACAGUUGCAUCAAAUGAACAGAAAUAUUUUUGGAAUCUGAAUAGUGGAAUAACUGCUUCAUUGAAUAAGAAAUCCUAUUUAGGGAAUGAUCCAGAUAUUUCUGCAACUGGAGGUUUUUGCAUUAACACCAGCUAAUUUCAGACCAACCACGUGGAUGAAUAUUGUGCCACAGCUGGAACAGUCUGACAGUCUAAAGCAGUAGAAAGCUUUAAAGAUUUCAGUUGAAGCUUAGAGGCAGGACUCCCAGAACUAUUGGAAACCUGCUGGUAAUCUGUAAGUUUAUUUAAGCGCCAACUUAUUCCAGUCAUGUUCUAUUAUCCUUUGCUGAACAGAACAGAUAUGGUAAAUCUGAAAUUUAAUUUGUAUGAAAUUAGGACUCACAUCCAAAGUUUCAAAAACCUCAGUUACUUCAACGUAAUAAUUUGUUGAUCCAUCUUUGAACGAAACAGUUUCUAGCCAACAAAUAAAGCCUAAUGCAUGCUUAAAUUUGAAUGAAUAAAGCCUUGAUGUCACACAGUGAAUAUCAUGAAGGCCUUUUGUGCUAUAUCCAAAAAUCUCUUUAUCACUAAAAAUGUUUCCUUCCCUUUAACUUAGCAUCUCUUCAAACAUUCUUUUUCAGCAGAAUAGACAGACAUGUAUUUUGCAAUCACAGAAGAAACAUUUCGUGCGUGCUGAUAGAUUACAAGGUUGAAAAAGAACAGACAUAUUUCCAUACACUGUUUACUAAAUAAUCUUGAGCAGUUUGAGAUCUUAUGUAACCUUUGCUUAUAUCAUCAGCAUUAAGUUUGAAUAUUUACUCAAAAAUUUAAAAAUCAAGCAAAAAGCAACAACAUAUAGUAUGUAAAUACUCCAGAAUUCAUCAUUUAGAAACAAAAACAUGCUCUUCUCUUGAAAGCACAAAUGUGAGAAAUGGUAAUGAGUGAUAGGCUGCUUUGAAGAAUUAGAAACAUGAAACAAAAUUAAACAUAAGGUUAUAAACCUGGACUGAAUUUCACCACCCAGUCCUUACACAUCCACAUACAGACUGACCAUUUGGAUCGACAAGACAAAUCCACAACUUUAAUACUUCGCAUAAAAUUUCCAGAGGAGUAUGCGUGAGCUGGAAGUUAUGUCCUUCCCCCCUCUCUAGAUAUAAUUCAAGAACUUGGUAAAAAACAUACAGUAUGAUGACAAUGGAUUCACAAGCAAGCUUUCUAAAAAACAUCAAUUCUUUUCCAUUAUAAAGUUGAGAUAAAUUAACAUAUUUACAAAGCAGAAAGACAGCAUUAUCUUCCUACCAAGGACAGACCAAGAACUUGAACUGAUGAUAUCAACAUGCCACCAUACACUAACAAGAAAAUGAAAACAAGUCCCCAUUGUAAAUUUAAAUAUAUCAAGACAGACAAUACAAUUACACACUGUGAAUGUAAAUUCAGCUACCCAACAGAAAUUUAUCUAGUUUUUGCUCAUAACAGAUUUAGAAGAAUGCAAUGGAAAAUGCACUGCCCUGUCCAGUAUUACUGGCACAGCUCUUCUAUAGCACUUUUAUUUACAUCCCUAGCUACUGAAGUAGAUAUCACUGGUGCUGCUUAACGCAGCUUGCCUUUUUGCACCACUGUACCAAUCUGCUUUGGAGAAAGCAAUGGCAGCACAAGUCUGUGAAGGAAUUCUGUUUUAAACCACCUUCCGCAAACCAUUCUCAUCAGAAGCUAUUUAAUCUGAUUAGCAGAAAGUCAAAAUAUAGUUUCUUUUCAAAGGAAAUUGUAAAUUGACUGUAUAAAAAAAAAC